GUGGAUUAGAUACCCUGGUAGUCCACACCGUAAACGUUGGGCGCUAGGUGUGGGAUCCAUUCCACGGGUUCCGUGCCGCAGCUAACGCAUUAAGCGCCCCGCCUGGGGAGUACGGCCGCAAGGCUAAAACUCAAAGGAAUUGACGGGGGCCCGCACAAGCGGCGGAGCAUGCGGAUUAAUUCGAUGCAACGCGAAGAACCUUACCUGGGUUUGACAUGGACGGGAAGCCUCCAGAGAUGGAGGUCUCUUUGGACACUCGUUCACAGGUGGUGCAUGGCUGUCGUCAACU
rnacentral:rRNA from 1 species